UUUAAAAGAAAACAGAGCAUCAUAUGAAAAAAAAAAGGUUAACACAAGCUUUAGGUAUUUUUUUUUUUUUAAUUUUGCUAUUUCCAGAGAAGUGACGGUUCCCUGUUAAUCUUUAUUGACCCUAUAUCAAAGACAUAUACAUACAGUUAUCUCUGUUAAGCUUUGAAACAUCUAUUCUAAAGAAAAGUAUGUGUGGGAAAAAAAACAGCAAUAAAUCGGGUUUAUUUU